rnacentral:sRNA from 1 species
AUUAAAUUUAAUUAAUUAAAUUAGUAUUUGACUUUUUAAUUCUUAAAGAGAUAAAUUAAUUUACUCUUUAAAAUUUUAUUUCUAAUGGCAUACCUAUGUAAUUACUUAUAAAAAUUAAGGUUAUAUUUAAAAUGUACUUCCCAAAUAAUAUAGUAGGAUAUAUAUUAAAAGUAUUUAAACUGCACUGCACUUUAUCCAAAGUUGAGCGACACAUUUCUAUUUGGAGC